rnacentral:rRNA from 1 species
CCCGCUGAACUUAAGCAUAUCAAUAAGCGGAGGAAAAGAAACCAACAGGGAUUGCCUCAGUAACGGCGAGUGAAGCGGCAACAGCUCAAAUUUGAAAUCUGGCCUCUUUGGGGUCCGAGUUGUAAUUUGUAGAGGAUGUUUUGGGUACCGCGCCGGUUUAAAUUUCUUGGAACAGAAUGUCAGAGAGGGUGAGAAUCCCGUCUUGGACCGGCGUAGGGCCCGUGUAAAACUCCUUCGACGAGUCGAGUUGUUUGGGAAUGCAGCUCAAAAUGGGUGGUAAAUUUCAUCUAAAGCUAAAUAUUGGCCAGAGACCGAUAGCGCACAAGUAGAGUGAUCGAAAGAUGAAAAGCACUUUGAAAAGAGAGUUAAACAGUAUGUGAAAUUGUUGAAAGGGAAGCGCUUGCAACCAGACUUGCGCGCGGCGGUUCCCCCUUCCUUUUGGUUGGGCUAUUCCGUCGUGUCCAGGCCAACAUCGGUUCUGGGGGUCGGUUAAAGACUUGGGGAAUGUAUCUACCCUUCGGGCGUAGACUUAUAGCCCCGAGUGUCAUGCGGCCUCCCGGGACCGAGGAACGCGCUCCGGCUCGGAUGUUGGCGUAAUGGUUGUCAGCGACCCGUCUUGAAACACGG